rnacentral:rRNA from 1 species
UACUCUCUUUGUUGAUAUAUUUCUUUUUUGUUUUUUAUUUUUUAUGUUAUUUUUGUAAAAUGUUUUAAUUUUUUUUUAUUUAGAUGGAAAUAUUAAAAAUUUGUUUUUUGAACUGGAUUAGUACCCAGGUAAUCAAAAUUUAAUAAUUCGGGAGUAAAGUUUUGUUUAAACCGAAAAAAUAUUGACUGACCUUAGAUUUUUCUUUGGAAUAUGUGUAUGGAGAGCCCUCUUUUUUAGUAAAUUUUGUUGGCACAUGUAUGAUUGUUAGUUUUUUAUAUUAUUUGGUAAUAUUUUUUGUGUUCACAUUUUAGACAGAUAUAUACUUGGCUUAUGAGUUUAUUAAUCAUGUAUUACUAUUAUUAAUUUUUUUUGGAUAAUUUUUUUAUUUUAUUUUGAAAUUGGAAAAGAAAGUAAUUUAAUUUUGAUGUUUUGAUGAAUUUAAUAAAUAAGGUGGUACAAACCAUCCCUCUAUA